GCCUGGCUGGCUCAGUCAGUAGAGCAUGUGAUUCUUGAUCUCAGGGUCAUGAGUUAAAGUCUCACACAAGACA
rnacentral:tRNA from 1 species